GAUCCUGGCUCAGGAUGAACGCUAGCUACAGGCUUAACACAUGCAAGUCGAGGGGAAACGACAUCGAAAGCUUGCUUUUGAUGGGUGUCGACCGGCGCACGGGUGAGUAACGCGUAUCCAACCUGCCCACCACUUGGGGAGUAACCUUGCGAAAGUAAGACUAAUACCCAAUGAUAUCUCUAGAAGACAUCUGAGGAGAUUAAAGAAUUUAUCGGUGGUAUGGAUGGGGAGUGCGU
rnacentral:rRNA from 1 species